rnacentral:misc_RNA from 1 species
CAGGUAUGAUGUUGGCUUUUUCUUUUGUCUUUGCUUGUGUGGUUUUAAUCUCCAAAUUUUCUAGGUGAUAAGUCAAUAUAGCACUAAUGAUCUAGAAAGAACACAAGGUCCCAUGCCCUUUAAUUUCUAAUUCAUCCCUCCUCAACACAAGAGGUGAGGAGGGUUGAGGGCUGGUUUUUGAAUGGCAACCUACUGCUUCUUGUCAAGGCUAGACUGCACUGGGCGGGUAACCUAUUUUAUCAUGGAAACUGAAUUAUUUCCAGCUAAAGACAACAGAUUUAUAUAUAAUUUUUUGGGGAAUAUAUUACUGAGAGAUUAGCUCUGUUGAACAGGUAUCAAGUGCUGGCAGGUGUUAUCGAACAGCGA